GGGCUCUGGGGAUAGUAUGCUCGCAAGAGUGAUAAAUUAAAGAAAUUGACGGAGCUACACCACAAGGAGUGGAUUGUGCGGCUUAAUUUGACUCAACGCG
rnacentral:rRNA from 1 species